GGUAAUAUGUGCCUAGAACUCCCCACACUCUAAGGCAUGAGUGUGAAAUGCAAGAGAGGCAGUGAGUUAAGUGGGAAGAGUGUCAUGUCAAACUGAGAGAAUAACUUCUAAGUAGCUUUCAGUUCCCAUGUAGCACAGACCCUGAGUAGGAUGAAGUAGGGUCAUUUCAGAAGGCAAGGUGAGACUGGGCAUAGUGGCUCAUGCCUGUAAUCCCAACACUUUGGGAGGCCGAGCCAGCAGGCAGAGGUUGCAGCGAGCUGAGAUUGUGCCACUGCACUCCANNNNNNNNNNCACUCCAGCCUGGGUGACAGAGUAAGACCCUGUUUCAAAAAAAAAAAAGAAGGCAAGAUG
rnacentral:lncRNA from 1 species